ensembl:lincRNA
AUGGAAGGGGAUCUGAAUAGCUUUCCUGUCCCCGAGUGGAGGAAAAUUGCAGCUCUCUCCAUGGUGAACGGAGAUGACAGAGAAUCACUGGGAAGUCUCAGGGACUGUCUGCCAUGCGGUUUGAAGAUGGAUGGCAAAUCAUCUACUCCACCCUUAAUGGCCUGUGCUGUGGAAGAUACUGCUAACUCAGCACAGCCAUGCUUCCUACAACUCAUAAUGUCCAUCAAGGUCACAAAGCUGGUCCAGUAUCAUGUUGCCAGGAGUGGUCGUCACCAAAUCCCGGCUCUAGUGAUCUGUCCGAGGACUUGGCAGAAGAGCUAUCCUUGUCAUCAUAUUUCCAUAUUGAAGUCCAAAUGACUCUGCUAUUGAUUAUUAAAUAGCACCACGUGCUGUAUUUUAAAACAAAACUAAUGUAAAAACAAGGGAAGGAGUUGAUGUCUCUCUGGUGAGCUGGGUGACAUACACCUAUAAUCCCAGGCACAUGGGAAGAUAGGACAGAAAGAUUUUGGUUUCAAUGCCAGUGCAUGUUACAUAGUAAGACUCUGUCUUAAAGAGGAAGAAGAAGGAAGAGGAGGAAGAAGUAGAAGAAGAGGAGGAGGAGAAGGAGAAAAAAAACCCAAACAAGCAACAACAACCAAAACCAUGGUGGUCAGCCAGAUGGUUCAUCGGAUUAAAGUACUUGCCGUACAAGCUGAGUUUUAUUCCCAGAAUCUACAUUAGAAAGCCAGAUGUGGUGGCACACAUCUGUAAUCCCAACAUUUCUAUGAUAUAACUGGGAGGUGGGACAGGAGAAUCUCCUGAAGACUCAUGGGCUGGCUAGCCUGGAGCAAGCAAUAGCAGAGACAAGAGAGGCCCUUCCUCAGCAAGGGAGAAGGAGAGGAUCACUCCAGAAAAAUUGCCCUGUGACCUCCACAGACACACUGUGACACACAUGCUCAUCCAGUCACACUCCCGCCCCACCCAUACCCACUCACUAAACUGAUUUUAAAAAUUAAAAAAGAGACAGAUCUUUUCCCUAGAUGGGCAAUCAUAUCAAAACACUUAAUGUACAGUUCUGUCAGUUUAUCCACAGAAAUUAAUUCUGCUUUCACAGGUAGCCAGGUGAUAAACUAAAAAUGAAAAGCAUUCUCCAAAGGACAAGCACUGAGUACUUAUUCAUUACUCAGAUGUUAACUGGCUCCACCUCCAAAUGUUCCCAGCCCUUGAAGGGUUUUGUGUGUGUGUACUAGGUCCCCUGGCCACAUCCUUCCUAUUAGCACUAAUGAGCAUCUUAGGGGCUUGCUGGACCACAUCCCAUCAUGUGCACACACAAACCACACUGGAAGUUCAAAGUAUUUUCCUCCUCUGAGAGCUGCUUCAUAACAUCUCAUUUGGAGUAUAUUUCUAACUCCAUUAUAACAAAAAGUGGUUGCAUUAAUAAUGUGUUGCCUUGAGGGGGUGGUUCAGAAUUUGUGAGAAAAGUAGUGGUGUACUGGGCCCUUUGUCUAAACUAAAAAUAAGAGGGGAACUGACAUAAACCCAACUCCCAAACAUACCACAUCAUUCUAACCAUGAAUUCAAUACAUGCUUCUUAACUAUUAUUUUUCUCAAAAGGCUAAAUCCCUAAUAUUGUCUACGGUUGGUCUUAGCUGUAUUAAUUUUACCAUCUUUAUGAGCACAUAUAGAAUCAUAUAUAUAGAGAAUCAUAUAUAUAUGUAUACAUGUAUAUAUAAUAUUUAAAAAUUAAAAUAUUCAUCUGACAAGUGAUUUUUCAGGAAGAAAUCAACAAAUCAAAUGACAUUUUACCUUAGGGAUUACUGUGAGAAGACUAGACAUGUCGAUUUUUCUCUAAAAUAUAUUUACAAUACCCAGCACACAUGUGCUCACAUGUGCACACACAUGCACACACCUUCAUAUAACUUACCUGCCUCCCAUACAGGCCCUCACACCUGUGUAUGAGCUUUUGCAUAUGUCCUCACACAUUUACAUGGUCAUACAAGUCCUCAAACAUAUUCUGGAGUAUAUUUUUGUUUGUUCCAUGAUAUACUCCUGCUAUGUAGUUCAGUUUGACAUGAAAUUCAGUAUGUAGCCCAACCUGGCCUGAAAGCAGUGGAGCUCAGGCUAGCCUGGAGCUCACAGUCCUCUUGCAUCAGCCUCCCGAGUGACAGUUUUACAGGCUGGCCCUGUGAAGCCUUCAGUAAAAUAGCCUCCAAAGUAGAGAAUCCACUUGAGAGGUGUUGGAUGAGAAAAGGAGAUUUCUAUAAGCAAUACUUGUGAUGACUCAAGUGAGGAAACGUACCCCCUCAUUCCCAUCUGUUUAUGACUCUAUCACAUAAAUGAUGCUUGUCUGUAUCGAUGAAUAAAUAGCGCAUUCAUUCCCCAGAAGAAACCCCUGGGUAGAGGUGUUAGUUUACACCUGACUUCUAACAAGGUGGUCAAGCUGAGCCCUCUCUCUCUCUCUCUCUCUCUCUCUCUCUCUCUCUCUUUCUCUACCUCCCCCUCUCUGUCUGUCUGUCUGUUGCCCCUCCCCCCAUGUAUGGUGUAAUUCUGUAUCUAGGUGGGAAGAAUUGGGAAUUGUAGGAUCAACAAUGCCUUUUGCUGACUCAUUACAGAAUCUUAACUUUGAACAGGUGCAAUUAGAAAACUCAAAGUCAAAUCAAAACAAAGCCUCAAGAGAGCUGUGUAAGCAAACAGUUUUACUCAUCACCUUGUGGUGAAUUGUGAUCUACUUUUCUCAACAGAGUACACGGGCAGCAUCAUUGCAAAGGUUGCUCCGUGUUAGGCUUUCCAUCAAAAUUGUUUUAUGUGCCAGUGGA